rnacentral:tRNA from 1 species
GGAGGGAUGGCCGAGAGGCUUAAGGCGACGGUCUUGAAAACCGUAGUUCCGUUAGCAGCGGGACCGUGGGUUCGAAUCCUACUCCCUCCGCCA